AAGGGCUGGGUAAAAAUAUCGAUUCAUCAAUGCAUUGCAAUUAUUUGUUUCUCAAUUCAAUAUCGAUUCAUCAAAUCCUAUGAAUCGAUUCAGCCCCCCCCCCCCCGCCAGUGGCGGCGCUGUGGGCAACACUCUAGUGAGAGCGUUUAGUGUUGUACAAGACGCGCUAUAUCAAAACAGAAAGAUCAAAGAUGGCAAACAGCAGCACUUCUUUCAAGCCUGCACCAUCAACGUGAUCAAACAUUAGCAGAGCAAGGUGAUAAAGACGCGCAACGGAUGAUUGAUGGGCGGGGGAACGCGCAAAAAGAACCAUGGAGACGGACGAGACAGGCGCGCGCUAAUGCAGACCCGCCUCAGUUCAAAUCUUAUGAAAGCAACCCCUGGUCAGUCCCGGCGCCAUGGGCGGGCUUUAGGGGGCCGGGCCCGCCCUGUGAGUCACUAGUGCCCGCCCUGGACGAACCUGCGGUCUCCCUUCACCUGUUCACCAGCUCCAUGUUUUUAUCAAUAGGCCACUGUUAUUAAUUAAAAGUUAUUGUUUUGUACAUAUAUAACUCAUGAAUAAAAAUAAAAAUGUGUUUGGUCUGAUUUAAAAAUAUAUAUAUAUUAAACGAAUUUGAUUGGUUUGUCAGCUGUGAGCGCGGAAAUGUUUGGUUGUUUGCUAAGCGCGCCACCGCUAAUGUUGUUAAGACAUGAUUGAGUGCUGCCUGCAGUGAGACUGACACGUUAUGGUUCUGCUGUUAUCUUUCACUAUUUUCGCUGCUGAAACAACAAAAACAGUCAACAUUGCGUCUAAAAUGUAAGUGGCUUAAUAUUAAUUAUUUGUAGUGAACUGUCAUUAAAUCUGUCACAUUUUCAACCGUGAUGUGAUGCUGCUUAACUGUAUCAUGUUAUUAAAAAAUCCACAUUUUUACCGCAGUAUGUUUAACCCACUUUGUUAACACACUUUGUGUUUGCUGUGCUUAUUUGUUUAACUUUGCGUUUUUACAUUAUGCACUUUCGGUCGCCAUUGAUUAAAGGAUGCAGAAUCAUUA